AGUGAACGCUGGCGGUAGGCCUAACACAUGCAAGUCGAACGGCAGCACAGUAAGAGCUUGCUCUUACGGGUGGCGAGUGGCGGACGGGUGAGGAAUACAUCGGAAUCUACUUUUUCGUGGGGGAUAACGUAGGGAAACUUACGCUAAUACCGCAUACGACCUACGGGUGAAAGCAGGGGUUCUUCGCACCUUGCGCGAUUGAAUGAGCCGAUGUCGGAUUAGCUAGUUGGCGGGGUAAAGGCCCACCAAGGCAACGAUCCGUAGCUGGUCUGAGAGGAUGAUCGGCCACACUGGAACUGAGACACGGUCCAGACUCCUACGGGAGGCAGCAGUGGGGAAUAUUGGACAAUGGGCGCAAGCCUGAUCCAGCCAUACCGCGUGAGUGAAGAAGGCCUUCGGGUUGUAAAGCCCUUUUGUUGGGAAAGAAAAGCAGCAGGUUAAUACCCCGCUGUUCUGACGGUACCCAAAGAAUAAGCACCGGCUAACUUCGUG
rnacentral:rRNA from 1 species